rnacentral:tRNA from 1 species
AGCUCUGUGGUGAAAUUCAUGUUGAGUUGCAAGCUCAGAGAUGUGCGUUGAUGAUGCACCAGAGCUU